UUACAAUGGAGAGUUUGAUCCUGGCUCAGGAUGAACGCUAGCGGCAGGCCUAAUACAUGCAAGUCGAGCGGCAAGUCGAGGAGUAAUCUAAGACCUAGAGCGGCGGACGGGUGCGUAACGCGUAUGCAACCUACCUCAUACAGGGGGAUAGCCCGGAGAAAUCUGGAUUAAUACCCCAUGGUACUGUGAC
rnacentral:rRNA from 1 species